rnacentral:rRNA from 1 species
GGGGAUAAAGCAUUGCAAUUAUUGCUUUUCAACGAGGAAUGCCUAGUAAGCGCGUGUCAUCAGCAUGCGUUGAUUACGUCCCUGACCUUUGUACACACCGCCCGUCGCUACUACCGAUUGAAUGGCUCAGUGAGGCCUUCGGACUGGCUCGAGGAGGUUGGCAACGACCACCUCAAGCCGGAAAGUUCGUCUAACUCGGUCAUUUAGAGGAAGUAAAAGUCGUAACAAGGUCUCCGUAGGUGAACCUGCGGAGGGAUCAUUACACAACUAUGAAGGCGGGCUGGAACCUCUCGGGGUUACAGCCUUGCUGAAUUAUUCACCCUUGUCUUUUGCGUACUUCUUGUUUCCUUGGUGGGUUCGCCCACCACUAGGACAAACAUAAACCUUUUGUAAUUGCAAUCAGCGUCAGUAACAAAUUAAUAAUUACAACUUUCAACAACGGAUCUCUUGGUUCUGGCAUCGAUGAAGAACGCAGCGAAAUGCGAUAAGUAGUGUGAAUUGCAGAAUUCAGUGAAUCAUCGAAUCUUUGAACGCACAUUGCGCCCUUUGGUAUUCCAAAGGGCAUGCCUGUUCGAGCGUCAUUUGUACCCUCAAGCUUUGCUUGGUGUUGGGCGUCUUGUCUCUAGCUUUGCUGGAGACUCGCCUUAAAGUAAUUGGCAGCCGGCCUACUGGUUUCGGAGCGCAGCACAAGUCGCACUCUCUAUCAGCAAAGGUCUAGCAUCCAUUAAGCCUUUUUUCAACUUUUGACCUCGGAUCAGGUA